GCCCGGUGCUGGAAGGUUAAGGAAGGGAGUUAGUUUCGGCGAAGCUCUUGACUGAAGCCCCAGUAAACGGCGGCCGUAACUAUAACGGUCCUAAGGUAGCGAAAUUCCUUGUCGGGUAAGUUCCGACCUGCACGAAUGGUGUAACGAUUUGGGCACUGUCUCAACCACGAGCUCGGUGAAAUUGAAGUAUCGGUGAAGAUACCGGUUACCCGCAACGGGACGGAAAGACCCCGUGAACCUUUACUGCAGCUUCACGUUGAGCUUGAGCAUAAGAUGUGUAGGAUAGGUGGGAGACAAAGAAGGCGGGACGCUAGUUCUGGUGGAGUCGUCCUUGAAAUACCACCCUUUUUAUGCUUAGGUUCUAACCUGUUAACAGGGACAUCGUGUGGUGGGUAGUUUGACUGGGGUGGUCGCCUCCAAAAGAGUAACGGAGGCUCGCAAAGGUACCCUCAGCAUGGUCGGUAAUCAUGCGCAGAGCGUAUAAGUAUAAGGGUGCUUGACUGAGAGACGGACGCGUCGAACAGGGACGAAAGUCGGCUUAAGUGAUCCGGUGGUUCCGCAUGGAAGGGCCAUCGCUCAAAGGAUAAAAGGUACUCCGGAUAACAGGCUGAUCUCCCCCAAGAGCUCACAUCGACGGGGAGGUUUGGCACCUCGAUGUCGGCUCGUCGCAUCCUGGGGCUGGAGAAGGUCCCAAGGGUUGGGCUGUUCGCCCAUUAAAGCGGCACGCGAGCUGGGUUCAGAACGUCGCAAGACAGUUCGGUCCCUAUCUGUUGUGGGCGUAGGAGUAUUGCGGAGAUCUGACUCUAGUACGAGAGGACCGGGUUGGACGCACCGCUAGUGUACCAGUUGUGGCGCCAGCUGCAUCGCUGGGUAGCUAUGUUCGGAACGGAUAAGCGCUGAAAGCAUCUAAGUGCGAAGCCAACUCCAAGAUGAGUACUCCAUUGAGGGCCCUAGAAGAUGACUAGGUUGAUAGGCUACAGGUGGAUAUCGUGACUGGGAAAC
rnacentral:rRNA from 1 species